AGUGUAGUCUCCUAAAUGCACGUAGCCCUUAUAGGGCUUUUU
rnacentral:sRNA from 1 species